rnacentral:tRNA from 1 species
GCCUGGGUGGCUCAGUCGGUUGAGCCUCUGACUUCAGCUCAGGUCAUGAUCUUGCAGUUUGUGGGUUCGAGCCCUGCAUCGGGCU